rnacentral:rRNA from 1 species
AUGUUGGGACAAGGAAUCUCAUCACUACAGUAUGUAGCUACCAUAGUGGACCAGGAAACAAACCAAAGGAGAGCACUCACACGGAACCAUGAAGCCAAUGAUCUUCGUCAACUAGAUGUUUUAGAUUUCUUUUUUUUUUUGGCGCAGAAACAUGAUCAAAAGGUCAGAAACGGUCUAAAUGUGUAUUCUGACGGCCAAAAUGACUGGGAGCGAGAGAGAGCUCCCUUUAGGCUCAGUUUUACUGUUCUAAAUUUUGUACAACUGAUGUCUCAUACUUGCAUCUUUUACAUGUCCUUUUGUGAACUUGAUGUAUGGUGUCUUGGUGGUAAUGUUUAG